rnacentral:tRNA from 1 species
AGGGGUUUAGGUUAAAGAGACCAAGGGCCUUCAAAGCCCCAAGUAAGUGUCAUUCACUUAACUCCUG